rnacentral:rRNA from 1 species
UUCAGGGAACGUUAAUGGCGGCGAGCGGCGGACGGGUGAGUAAUGCCUGGGAAUAUGCCCUGAUGUGGGGGAUAACUAUUGGAAACGAUAGCUAAUACCGCAUAAUCUCUUCGGAGCAAAGAGGGGGACCUUCGGGCCUCUCGCGUCAGGAUUAGCCCAGGUGGGAUUAGCUUGUUGGUGAGGUAAUGGCUCACCAAGGCAACGAUCCCUAGCUGGUCUGAGAGGAUGAUCAGCCACACUGGAACUGAGACACGGUCCAGACUCCUACGGGAGGCAGCAGUGGGGAAUAUUGCACAAUGGGGGAAACCCUGAUGCAGCCAUGCCGCGUGUGUGAAGAAGGCCUUCGGGUUGUAAAGCACUUUCAGUAGGGAGGAAGGUAGUGUAGUUAACACCUGCAUUAUUUGACGUUACCUACAGAAGAAGCACCGGCUAACUCCGUGCCAGCAGCCGCGGUAAU